rnacentral:rRNA from 1 species
AGGGUCGCCGGUCCGAACCUGUUCGUGUAUCUGGUUGAGCCUGGCUCCUCUUGGGGAACGUUGCUGCGCUUGAUUGCGUGGCGCGGAAUUCAAGACUUUUACUUUGAGGAAAUUAGAGUGUUCACGGCAGGCCAAUCGCCUUGAAUACAUUAGCAUGGAAUAAUAAUAUAGGACCUUGGUUCUAUUUUGU